GCUAUUCUAAGUGGAGAAUGCGUGUAUCAUGGUGGGAAGGAUGUGAUAAAUGGAAAAUUAUACGAUAUAACGGACCCCAUACAUGUGUUAAUCCAUCACUCUCACAAGACCAUAGGCAAUUGGAUAGCAGAUUUAUAACUGAGUUCAUCCAGGCUACUGUACAAGAAUAACUAAGUCUGAAGAUAGCUGUGUUACAAGUGGAAAUCAAAGAUAACGCUGA
rnacentral:misc_RNA from 1 species